rnacentral:snRNA from 1 species
AUACUUACCUUAGACACUCACGCAGCUGUUCAACCAGGGCUGUGGGGCUGCAGUGGAGCUGGUCAAUACACGCAUGAAAUACUGUGGACUGUACGUGAUGCUGUAGCACUUGGGGUUCAGCUCCAAGUCUGUCUAUAAUUUUUGACAAGGUGUGAUGGCGCUUGCGCCUCAUGCC